UGUAGCAAUACAAGGCAGACGGCUCAGUAACGCGUAGUCAACCUAACCUAUGGACGGGAAUAACCUCGGGAAACUGAGAAUAAUGCCCGAUAGAACACUAUGCCUGGAAUGGUUUGUGUUCCAAAUGAUUUAUCGCCGUAGGAUGGGACUGCGGCCUAUCAGUUUGUUGGUGAGGUAAUGGCCCACCAAGACUAUUACAGGUACGGGCUCUGAGAGGAGUAGCCCGGAGAUGGGUACUGAGACACGGACCCAGGCCCUAUGGGGCGCAGCAGGCGAGAAAACUUUGCAAUGUGCGAAAGCACGACAAGGUUAAUCCGAGUGGUUUCUGCUAAAGGAACCUUUUGUCAGUCCUAGAAACACUGGUGAAUAAGGGGUGGGCAAGUUCUGGUGUCAGCCGCCGCGGUAAAACCAGCACCUCAAGUGGUCAGGAUGAUUAUUGGGCCUAAAGCAUCCGUAGCCUGCUUUGUUAGUUUUCGGUUAAAUCCAUACGCUUAACGUAUGGGCUGCCGGGAAUACUGCAAAGCUAGGGAGUGGGAGAGGUAGACGGUACUCGGUAGGAAGGGGUAAAAUCCUUUGAUCUAUUGAUGACCACCUGUGGCGAAGGCGGUCUACCAGAACACGUCCGACGGUGAGGGAUGAAAGCUGGGGGAGCAAACCGGAUUAGAUACCCGGGUAGUCCCAGCUGUAAACUAUGCAAACUCGGUGAUGCAUUGGCUUGAUGCCAAUGCAGUGCCGCAGGGAAGCCGUUAAGUUUGCCGCCUGGGAAGUACGUACGCAAGUAUGAAACUUAAAGGAAUUGGCGGGGGAGCACCACAAGGGGUGGAGCCCGCGGUUCAAUUGGA
rnacentral:rRNA from 1 species